rnacentral:rRNA from 1 species
UCUGGGACAAGCCCUGGAAACGGGGUCUAAUACCGGAUAACACUCCUGCCCGCAUGUGUGGGGGUUGAAAGCUCCGGCGGUGAAGGAUGAGCCCGCGGCCUAUCAGCUUGUUGGUGAGGUGAAAGCUCACCAAGGCGACGACGGGUAGCCGGCCUGAGAGGGCGACCGGCCACACUGGGACUGAGACACGGCCCAGACUCCUACGGGAGGCAGCAGUGGGGAAUAUUGCACAAUGGGCGAAAGCCUGAUGCAGCGACGCCGCGUGAGGGAUGACGGCCUUCGGGUUGUAAACCUCUUUCAGCAGGGAAGAAGCGAAAGUGACGGUACCUGCAGAAGAAGCGCCGGCUAACUACGUGCCAGCAGCCGCGGUAAUACGUAGGGCGCAAGCGUUGUCCGGAAUUAUUGGGCGUAAAGAGCUCGUAGGCGGUCUGUCACGUCGGAUGUGAAAGCCCGGGGCUUAACCCCGGGUCUGCAUUCGAUACGGGCAGACUAGAGUGUGGUAGGGGAGAUCGGAAUUCCUGGUGUAGCGGUGAAAUGCGCAGAUAUCAGGAGGAACACCGGUGGCGAAGGCGGAUCUCUGGGCCAUUACUGACGCUGAGGAGCGAAAGCGUGGGGAGCGAACAGGAUUAGAUACCCUGGUAGUCCACGCCGUAAACGGUGGGAACUAGGUGUUGGCGACAUUCCACGUCGUCGGUGCCGCAGCUAACGCAUUAAGUUCCCCGCCUGG